AUGGAUAUGUUCCAUGCAAGAAUCAAUUGCAGGUGCACGUUGCUUGCCGGCAACAACUUGCUGCCUACUGUACUGCCUCAUACAUUCUCAUCGGUGGCCACGUACGUGCGAGUAGCUGGGCGUUUACGCUACGGCCAUGUACAAAUUGACACAUGCAUUGUGCGGCACCGUCUGUCACCGACUCACCGUACCCUUGUUUCUGGGAACCAGCUUCCCGUCCGUCGCAUCAUCUCUCACAUCUCACCGGAAAGAUGUGAAUUGCGUCAACAGACGGCGCUCCCCACGGCACCGUCGCUGGUCCCUGACCCGCCCUCUCCGAUCGCCGAGGAGAAGGUGACAUCCCCGGCUCCCUCCCUUGGCGCUGUGCUCGCCGCCGUCCCGUCGGGCUCCCUCUGCGACCCGCCACCGGCGGCCCCGGUUGUCGCCAUUCCGCCCCCCCGGCCGCCCUGCUUCCUCCGGUCGUGGCCCCCCACCGCCCCCGGUUCCUCUCGUGGACCGGGCUCCGCUCCGCUCCUGCUCCCUCCCACGGCAAACCUCGGCACGGACGGGGAGACCCGGGUGACCACUCCCUUGGCCGCCCAGCCUCCCCCUCCGCGUGCCGCGGCCUACUCUCGCCGCGGCCGGUCUGCCUCCUCUCCGGUGACCGCCUCCCACCGGAGCGCUCGGCUUGACGCGGCGCGCCCCGAGGGUAGCCCGGCGCUGCCCAUCCAUGAGCGGGCGGAGCUCCGGGCGGCUGCCCGGAACCUGGAGCCAGGCCCGAGCAGCUUUGCUCGCGCCUCCCGCCCCGUCGAUCGCGUCGGAGGAUGCUCUCCCGCCCCUCCUCGGAGGGCCGGUGGCAUCCCCCCUGACCAUGGCCGAGCUUCGGGGCCGCACCCGUUCUCAGACCGCUGCUCUCCGCGCCCAAAGCGCAUCUCGUGUCCUAGGGUCAAGCAGCCCCUCAUUGGUUGCUUGAUGUGUGCUCUCUUCUGGAGCAUCCGCGGCUUUGGCCAUGAUGGCCGCCGCUGCCAACUCAUCGACUACAUGCGUGAUGAACACAUUGACAUUGUUGCCAUCCAAGAAACCAUGCACACAGAAUUCUCCCUCCCGGAACUCGACCGCCUUAGCACUCACCUCUUCGCCUGGCAUUGGCUCCCUUCUAGUAGGAGCUCGGGCCAUUCCGGUGGCAUCCUGUUAGGCAUGAAGGAUGCCACCUUCGAGGUGGGCAGUAUGAACCAGGGCCAAUUCUUUGUCAGCAUGGAACUUUAUGAACGCGUCCUCAACUUCAAGUGGGAGGUUAUUAUUGUCUACGGCCCCGCCGACCACAGCCGGUCCACCUCCUUCCUCGAGGAGCUCCACCGGAAGGUCUCGGUUGCUUCGCUCCCGGUGGUGGUUGGGGGCAAUUUUAACCUCCUACAUUUCGCGGAUGACGAGAGCAAUUCGCACGUCAACUUUGCACGUAUGCAAAUGUUCAAUGACUGCAUUGCUGACCUUGGGCUCCGCGAAACAAAUAGGGUUGGUACCAGGUUCACCUGGACCAACCGUCAGGCUACUCCGACCCAGUCCAUUCUGGACCGGGUCCUAGUUUCCCCGAAGUGGGACCUCCGUUGCUCUCUUGCUUCCCUCCGGGCCAUUACUCGGGUCGGUUCCGACCACAUCCCCUCCUUCUAUCUUCCGCUGACGAGCGCCCCCCGAUCCCUCCCCGAUUCCGGCCCGCGCCCAACCUCAGUCCUUGUCUCGACCCCCUCCGCCAUCGACGCGUGGCAUUUCUGUGCCAAGCGCGGCCGACAGUUCAUGAAGGGGUCGGGCGCCAACCUGGGGCGCGACCUCCGCGAGCGCAAGAAGGCCCUGCUGUCUGCUAUCCAGGCCCUGGACCUACGCGCCGACGCCACCGGCCUCUCUCCUGAGGAGUGGCUUUCCCGUUACGACCUGGAAGACCAACUCUCUAUCAUAUACUCCGAUGAGGAGGCCUACUGGCGUGUGCGCGGUGCUCAGAAAUGGGUAUUGAAGGGCGAUGCGAACACAACGUAUUUCCAGGCCAUCACGAAUGGCCGUCGUAGACGCAACACCACCCCCCUCCUCUGGGAUGGCCGGACUCUCCUGCAGUCCCCGCGGGACAUUAGUUGGCCCUUCCUACGGGAAGUUCUUCUCCGGAAAGGCUUCGAUGACCGUUGGAUCACCAGGGUGAUGCAGAUGGUUUCUUGUGGCCGCACUACCGUGAACAUCAAUGGGGAGAUUGGCCCCUUCUUCCCCACUCUUUGUGGGGUGAGGCAAGGCGACCCUUUCUCCCCGUUCUUGUUCAAUAUGGUGGUGGAUGCACUUGCAGCCAUCCUGGACAAGGCUAAGGCGUCGGGCCAUAUUCGUGGACUCACCCCCACUUGGCCUGUGGCGCCGGCAUCUCCCUGCUCCAACCCCAUCGACAGUACCCCGGCCCCCGUCGACGCCGCCACAUGUGGCCUCAGCAAGCCACUCCGCGAGAAGCGCCCGGGCGACCCGGCUGUGAACUGUGUGUCCGCUCUUCCGCCAAGCUGUUCAGGUGUUUGCCUCUCCCGUGGGUGCUCUGCCGGCCGGCUUCUAUUUUCAAUCGGGUUUGGUAAUGAUACGGAAGGGUCAUUUUCCUUGAUUUUCUUCAAAGGUGUGGAUCUGUUAUCGUUGCUGGAUCAUGUACUGUCAUUUGUCCACUACUUAGGAAUUGAGAAGAAUAAAUAUGCAGAAGAUAUUGAAAGCGGUUUUUGGAUGUUGAAACAAACAAGUUGCUGCUCAUCUCUGACUCUCUGUUCACUAAGCUUUGCUGGGUCGUUGAUCUACAUGUCCUUCUGCUCAAGUAUCUAA
rnacentral:rRNA from 1 species